UACGUAGGGUGCAAGCGUUAAUCGGAAUUACUGGGCGUAAAGCGUGCGCAGGCGGCUUUGCAAGACAGAUGUGAAAUCCCCGGGUUCAACCUGGGAACUGCAUUUGUGACUGCAAGGCUGGAGUACGGCAGAGGGGGAUGGAAUUCCGCGUGUAGCAGUGAAAUGCGUAGAUAUGCGGAGGAACACCGAUGGCGAAGGCAAUCCCCUGGGCCUGUACUGACGCUCAUGCACGAAAGCGUGGGGAGCAAACAGG
rnacentral:rRNA from 1 species